UGCAAGUCGAGGGGCAGCGAGGGAGUGGCAACACUUCUGUCGGCGACCGGCGCACGGGUGAGUAACACGUAUCCAACCUGCCGACAACACUGGGAUAGCCUUUCGAAAGAAAGAUUAAUACCCGAUGGCAUAGUUCUUCCGCAUGGUGGAACUAUUAAAGAAUUUCGGUCAUCGAUGGGGAUGCGUUCCAUUAGAUAGUAGGCGGGGUAACGGCCCACCAAACCAACGAUGGAUAGGGGUUCUGAGAGGAAGGUCCCCACAUUGGAACUGAGACACGGUCCAAACUCC
rnacentral:rRNA from 1 species